rnacentral:misc_RNA from 1 species
GUUUCUAUUUUCAUAGAGAUGUAAGUCAAAUUGUUAUGGUUUGUUAAAACGGCUGGGCCUUACUCUCCAAGGAGAGAUAGACCCAAAAAACGUCAAUAAUGCACAAGUGGUAGUUCUUUCCUAUAUGGCACCUAAUAAGUAUUGAUCAAAGAUCAAUACCUCAAAGGCUUUUUGGCCUAUAUAGGAAAAGAAUCAGUAAUGAUCCAACCGCAGGUUCACCUACGGUUA